rnacentral:rRNA from 1 species
CCUACGGGGGGCAGCAGUGGGGAAUAUUGGACAAUGGGGGGAACCCUGAUCCAGCCAUGCCGCGUGUGUGAAGAAGGCCCUCGGGUUGUAAAGCACUUUCAGUGAGGAAGAACGCCUGGUGGUUAAUACCCAUCAGGAAAGACAUCACUCACAGAAGAAGCACCGGCUAACUCCGUGCCAGCAGCCGCGGUAACACGGAGGGUGCGAGCGUUAAUCGGAAUUACUGGGCGUAAAGCGCGCGUAGGUGGCUUGAUAAGCCGGUUGUGAAAGCCCCGGGCUCAACCUGGGAACGGCAUCCGGAACUGUCAAGCUAGAGUGCAGGAGAGGAAGGUAGAAUUCCCGGUGUAGCGGUGAAAUGCGUAGAGAUCGGGAGGAAUACCAGUGGCGAAGGCGGCCUUCUGGACUGACACUGACACUGAGGUGCGAAAGCGUGGGUAGCAAACAGGAUUAGAUACCCUGGUAGUC